rnacentral:lncRNA from 1 species
GCCAGCCCUCCGCCUCGAGGCCACUGGUGCUUGGGGGUGGGAAAAGAGUGACCGGGGGCAACUGAGCAAAACAUAGAACAGAAACUCCCUCUCGAAUAGAGACCCACGCACGGAAGGAUGAUACACUGUGAUUCCCCGACGUGGGCCUGCAGCAAGAGACGGGUGCUAACAGCGUCCGAGCCAAUCCAAGGAUAUUUGUUUUGUCCUAAACUUGCCGUGUGUUCUUGGAGGCGCGGGCCUCCCUGCUGUCAUCACACCUCGGAUCACCCCAGGCAAUCUCGCCCCUGUGGCUUCACCUGGGUCCAGCCAGACCUCUGCUCAGCUCUGCACGUGCUUAUCACACAUGCAGUCAAUGAACACCUCACAAAUGCAAGGUUCACAUGCAGUCUUCGAUGAACACAUCGAUCGCAUCCAGCAGUAUGUCUGUAUUGGAAAAGUCCUUCCAUAGCACCCAGUAAUGAAAAGGAAUGUGGCGGGGAGCAGUACUGGACAGUAAAACUAAAAACACCAGGAAGAUCACAGUGAGAUCAGCAGAGCCCUAGAAUGGCAAAUCCAUGACAAAGAAAAUUUCUGAUGAAUAAAAACGUGCCUGGGUCCAGGCCAGCAAU